rnacentral:rRNA from 3 species
UAGGGAAUCUUCGGCAAUGGACGAAAGUCUGACCGAGCAACGCCGCGUGAGUGAAGAAGGUUUUCGGAUCGUAAAACUCUGUUGUUAGAGAAGAACAAGGACGUUAGUAACUGAACGUCCCCUGACGGUAUCUAACCAGAAAGCCACGGCUAACUACGUGCCAGCAGCCGCGGUAAUACGUAGGUGGCAAGCGUUGUCCGGAUUUAUUGGGCGUAAAGCGAGCGCAGGCGGUUUCUUAAGUCUGAUGUGAAAGCCCCCGGCUCAACCGGGGAGGGUCAUUGGAAACGGGGAGACUUGAGUGCAGAAGAGGAGAGUGGAAUUCCAUGUGUAGCGGUGAAAUGCGUAGAUAUAUGGAGGAACACCAGUGGCGAAGGCGGCUCUCUGGUCUGUAACUGACGCUGAGGCUCGAAAGCGUGGGGAGCAAACAGG